UACGGAGGGUGCAAGCGUUAUCCGGAUUCACUGGGUUUAAAGGGAGCGCAGGCGGGCUGGUAAGUCAGGGGUGAAAGCCUUGAGCUUAACUCGAGAACUGCCAUUGAUACUAUCAGUCUUGAAUAUUGUUGAGGUUUGCGGAAUGGGUCAUGUAGCGGUGAAAUGCAUAGAUAUGACCCGGAACACCUAUUGCGAAGGCAGCAGGCUAAACAAAGAUUGACGCUGAGGCUCGAAAGCGUGGGGAUCAAACAGG
rnacentral:rRNA from 1 species